AGUGAGCGCUGGCGGUAGGCCUAACACAUGCAAGUCGAACGGCAGCACAGUAAGAGCUUGCUCUUACGGGUGGCGAGUGGCGGACGGGUGAGGAAUACAUCGGAAUCUACUUUUUCGUGGGGGAUAACGUAGGGAAACUUACGCUAAUACCGCAUACGACCUACGGGUGAAAGCAGGGGAUCUUCGGACCUUGCGCGGUUGAAUGAGCCGAUGUCGGAUUAGCUAGUUGGCGGGGUAAAGGCCCACCAAGGCGACGAUCCGUAGCUGGUCUGAGAGGAUGAUCAGCCACACUGGAACUGAGACACGGUCCAGACUCCUACGGGAGGCAGCAGUGGGGAAUAUUGGACAAUGGGCGCAAGCCUGAUCCAGCCAUACCGCGUGGGUGAAGAAGGCCUUCGGGUUGUAAAGCCCUUUUGUUGGGAAAGAAAAGCAGCAGGUUAAUACCCCGCUGUUCUGACGGUACCCAAAGAAUAAGCACCGGCUAACUUCGU
rnacentral:rRNA from 1 species